rnacentral:rRNA from 1 species
UACGUAGGGGGCUAGCGUUGUCCGGAUUUAUUGGGCGUAAAGAGCGUGUAGGCGGCCAGGUAGGUCUGCUGUGAAAACUCGAGGCUCAACCUCGAGACGUCGGCGGAAACCAUCUGGCUAGAGUCCGGAAGAGGAGAGUGGAAUUCCUGGUGUAGCGGUGAAAUGCGCAGAUAUCAGGAAGAACACCCGUGCGAAGGCGGCUCUCUGGGACGGUACUGACGCUGAGACGCGAAAGCGUGGGGAGCGAACAGG